rnacentral:rRNA from 1 species
GAACGCUGGCGGCGUGCCUAACACAUGCAAGUCGAGGGAGAACCGCAAGGGGGACACCGGCGANCGGGGUAGGAUUACGUAGGCAACGUNCCCUCAGGGNGAGGAUAGCCACGGGAAACUGUGGGUAAUACUCGAUAAUCUCCCCGACCAUGAUCGGAUGGGAAGCAAUGGGUGUGAUUCCACCUGAGGAGCGGCUUACGCAGUAUCAGCUAGUUGGUGAGGUAAUGGCUCACCANGGCUAUGACGCUUAGGGGGUGUGANAGCAUGNCCCCCACCACUNGCACUNAGACACUGGUCAGACACCCACGGNUGGUUGCAGUCGANAAUCUU